ACCCAUUUCUGUACUCCUCCCCAAUGAGGGGAUUAGUGCUGAAAUCAACAUCGCCUUUUCGAAUUAGGGUUAGUGUGGACGCAAUUCGAAGGUAUUGGCCUCCGGGAGCUAUCCCACAGUGCAGCAUUGUGACCGCUCUGGACAGCACUCUGAACUCGGAUGCACUGGCCAGGUGUACAGGAAAAGCCCCGGGAACUUUUGAAUAUCAUUUCCUGUUUGGACAGGCGAGCUCAUCAGCACAGGUGACCAUGCAGUCCCAGAAUCGAAAGAGCUCCAGCAUGGACCGAAAGGGAGGUACUGGAUUUGAUUGCUGUAUGGGGAGAGGAAUCCGUGCUAUCAGAAAUCCGUGCUAUCGUUCCAAAAAACGAAAUGCCAAAACAUUUCAAAAAAUCUCAGAGGCCACGAGGGACGCAACAUAGCGGCACAUGAAACUUAAGGAGCUCACAUAAGCGUACCAGAAAACCAAAGAAUCAAACGGACGCUCUGGGACAGAGCCCCAGAUGUGCCACUUCUACGCUGAGCUGCAUGCAAUUCUAGAGGGGGCCGCCACCACUACCCCACCCUUGUCCAUGGACUCCGAUGAUGGAGUACUCUUCGCCAUUCCUGAGGAUUUUGCAGAUGGGGAAGAUGAGGAGGAGGAGGACGAGCUUAGGGGAGAGCACACAGCACACCAUUCUCCCCGACAGACAGAAUCUUUUUAUCACCCUGGCUGAAAUACCCUCCCAACCCAAUGAAGCCGGAGAAGGGACCUCUGGAGAGUGAUAUCGUUCAUGGUAACCUGGUUGAAAUAGGGGAAUUUAAUUAAGGGGAUAUUCAGAGGUGCCUGUUCCUACUGGGCUGUUUGCUUGUGGCUGAAAAGAAAUCCUCCCCGCAGUUAACCACGCGCAGCUGCAAAUGUUUCAAGCCUCCCUCCUCCAUCCCAAAGGCUACCUCAGAUAAGGCGGCAAAAAAAACCACGGGCGAUGAAAUGUUCUCUGAACUCAUGCAGUCGUCCGACACUGACAGAGCUCAGCAGAAUGUGUGGAGGGACACAAUAGCAGAGUACAGGAAAGCGGCCGAUGAACAUGAGAAGAGGUGGCGGCAGGAAGAUCAGAGGAGGCAUGAGGCAACGCUGGGGCUACUGAGGGAUCAAACGGACAUGCUCCGGCGUUGGGUGGAGGUUCAUGAACGGCAGCAGGAUCACAGACUGCCACUGCAGCCCCUGUUUAGCCACCCUCCCUCCUCCCCAAGUUCCAUAGCCUCCUCACCCAGACGCCCAAGAACGCAGGGGAGGGGGAGGCUCCGGGCACCCAACCACUCCACCCCAGUGGACAGCCCAAGCAACAGAAGGCUAUCAUUCAAGAAAUUUUAAAGUUACCUUUUCCUUCCCUCCUACCCUCCUCCCACACCCCACCCAGGC